rnacentral:lncRNA from 1 species
CCCAUUCUACGCCCCUGGCACGAUUGGACUAUGUUGAGGACUAUAGGUGACAAUACCAUCCUUAUGUGAUAUGUUUGUGAUGUGUUGCAUUUCAUGGAAGCAUGAAAUAUUUUAAUAUAUGUUUUCUCUAUUCUGCUCACUGGGCUUUAUAGCUCACCCCUCUCCCCUAACCCCAGAUGUGCAGGUACAGGGUAGAUCAGGAGGUUAGCCAGAGUAUGGAAGCUAUGUUUAUG